rnacentral:rRNA from 1 species
GGGUUGUGAGGUUAAGCGACUAAGCGUACACGGUGGAUGCCCUGGCAGUCAGAGGCGAUGAAGGACGUGCUAAUCUGCGAAAAGCGUCGGUAAGGUGAUAUGAACCGUUAUAACCGGCGAUGUCCGAAUGGGGAAACCCAGUGUGAUCCGUCACACUAUCGUUAACUGAAUACAUAGGUUAACGAGGCGAACCGGGGGAACUGAAACAUCUAAGUACCCCGAGGAAAAGAAAUCAACCGAGAUUCCCCCAGUAGCGGCGAGCGAACGGGGAGCAGCCCAGAGUCUGAAUCAGCUUGUGUGUUAGUGGAACGGUCUGGAAAGUCCGACGGUACAGGGUGAUAGUCCCGUACACCAAAAUGCACAGGCUGUGAACUCGAAGAGUAGGGCGGGACACGUGGUAUCCUGUCUGAAUAUGGGGGGACCAUCCUCCAAGGCUAAAUACUCCUGACUGACCGAUAGUGAACCAGUACCGUGAGGGAAAGGCGAAAAGAACCCCGGCGAGGGGAGUGAAAAAGAACCUGAAACCGUGUA